rnacentral:rRNA from 1 species
GAUGAACGCUGGCGGCGUGCCUAAUACAUGCAAGUCGAGCGAACGGACGAGAAGCUUGCUUCUCUGAUGUUAGCGGCGGACGGGUGAGUAACACGUGGAUAACCUACCUAUAAGACUGGGAUAACUUCGGGAAACCGUAGCUAAUACCGGAUAAUAUUUUGAACCGAAUGGUUAAAACGUGAAAGACGGUCUUGCUGUCACUAAUAGAUGGAUCCGCGCUGCAUUAGCUAGUUGGUAAGGUAACGGCUUACCAAGGCAACGAUGCAUAGCCGACCUGAGAGGGUGAUCGGCCACACUGGAACUGAGACACGGUCCAGACUCCUACGGGAGGCAGCAGUAGGGAAUCUUCCGCAAUGGGCGAAAGCCUGACGGAGCAACGCCGCGUGAGUGAUGAAGGUCUUCGGAUCGUAAAACUCUGUUAUUAGGGAAGAACAUAUGUGUAAGUAACUGUGCACAUCUUGACGGUACCUAAUCAGAAAGCCACGGCUAACUACGUG